UGGCGCAUUAGUUUGGCACCUACCGCGUGCCCGCUGCACCCCGUCAGCCGUAGACAUCACAGGCAGCGUUCCAAGUGUUUGAUAUGCGUUCAAGUUUCACAGCCUCGCCAUUCUCAUCCCCACUUUACGCACGAGAAAGCGGGCACAGAGGAGUCAAGAAAUCGGAGGUCGGGUCCAGGGACGGCCGAGCGACGCCAGCCUCCAGCGGCUGCGGCUCCGUGGGGACCAGCGAGGGCAGGGCUGUGCCCGACGCGGAGCUGGCGCGCCCACCUCGCUGUGUGCUUGGGGCGAGGCUCGGGCGUCCCAGCUCGUUUGUGCAGACCCCGGGCCGAAAGCCCGCGGGGGCGGAAGAAAACAUACUUGUCUGUGGUCAGAAUGUAGACCCUCUAAGUGAAGACUGAAGCUCACACAGGCUGACACCAGAGUUGCCUGCGCAAUGGAGAACCAUUAGCUCAAUUUUUUAGAUAAAAAUAAGGGCUGUUGGUCUGGAGAAUGAAUCAGAGGCAGAAGACUGGAAGCGUGAUCAAUCAGGAAACUACUACAAUAGCCCGGAGAGUAGAGAAGGACCUGACUAGACUAUGAGCACCAUGAGGGCAGACUGGAUCCAGGUUCCUGCUGCAGUUCUGGUGCCUAAUUCAGUUCCUCACACAGGGGGAUGCCACAAAACUAUGAAAGAAUGGAAGGUGUUGAAGUGACCAACCAUACGUGAAAUGUGGUCAAGUUUAAAAGCUAGUGAGAAAAUGGUGUGUAUGGUGAUAGCUCAUUCCUGUUGUAAGUAUAUAUGUAUCUACAAUAUUCAUAAUUUUUAAAACAAAAACUGGAAACACAUACAGUGUAAUUAACCCUGGGAGGUAAAAGAAUGAGGACUCUCACCUAAUCUUUAGAUUUAUAGUGUGUUUAAAAUUUUUAACAGAGUUUUGUUUUUCACUAAUAUAUAAAAAGUCAUAUGAUGAAGGUUGGUGUUCCCAUUACCUAGCUUUAACAAUCAUCAACUUACAACAAGUUUUGUUUCAGGCAUACCCCACCCAUCAGCCACCUCCCAUAUUAUAUUGAAGCAAAUCUCCAACUCAUAUCAUUUCUUUCAUAAGUACUUCAGUACAUGUCUCUAAAAGAUAAGGACUAUUUUUAAAAAGUAGCCACAAUACCAUAUCACACCUAAAAAACAACAAUAAUUCUUU